rnacentral:lncRNA from 1 species
GGAGCAUUAAUUGAUGCAGUUUCCAAAAGAGGAGUAGCUGUUUGAAAAUCAAAGUGAGGGCAUGCGUGUUAUUGGUUACCAUGUGGGGCACUAAAAACUUUGUAAUUAUUCGGUCAAAAUUAUAGAAAGAAUGUUAGUUUUAAUGACGGAUUCUGAUCUUAGCACAUGACUCUGAUACCAAUUGUUAAUAUUUAUUUGUAAUCAUGCCAAGAAUCAAGAAUCACUGCAUAAUAAAUUAAUAAAACGAAUUCAUACCUGCG